GAUGAACGCUGGCGGCGUGCCUAAUACAUGCAAGUCGAGCGAACGGACGAGAAGCUUGCUUUUCUGAUGUUAGCGGCGGACGGGUGAGUAACACGUGGAUAACCUACCUAUAAGACUGGGAUAACUUCGGGAAACCGGAGCUAAUACCGAAUAAUAUUUUGAACCGCAUGGUUCAAAAGUGAAAGACGGUCUUGCUGUCACUUAUAGAUGGAUCCGCGCUGCAUUAGCUAGUUGGUAAGGUAACGGCUUACCAAGGCAACGAUGCAUAGCCGACCUGAGAGGGUGAUCGGCCACACUGGAACUGAGACACGGUCCAGACUCCUACGGGAGGCAGCAGUAGGGAAUCUUCCGCAAUGGGCGAAAGCCUGACGGAGCAACGCCGCGUGAGUGAUGAAGGUCUUCGGGUCGUAAAACUCUGUUAUUAGGGAAGAACAUAUGUGUAAGUAACUGUGCACAUCUUGACGGUACCUAAUCAGAAAGCCACGGCUAACUACGUG
rnacentral:rRNA from 1 species